CACGUAGGGCGCAAGCGUUGUCCGGAAUUAUUGGGCGUAAAGAGCUCGUAGGCGGUCUGUUGCGUCUGCUGUGAAAACCCGGGGCUUAACCCCUGGCUUGCAGUGGAUACGGACAGACUAGAGGUAGGUAGGGGAGAAUGGAAUUCCCGGUGUAGCGGUGAAAUGCGCAGAUAUCGGGAGGAACACCGGUGGCGAAGGCGGUUCUCUGGGCCUUACCUGACGCUGAGGGGCGAAAGCGUGGGGAGCGAACAGG
rnacentral:rRNA from 1 species